rnacentral:rRNA from 1 species
UACGUAGGGGGCUAGCGUUGUCCGGAAUCAUUGGGCGUAAAGCGCGUGUAGGCGGUCCGGUAAGUCCGCUGUGAAAGGCGGGGGCUCAACCCUCGGAUGCCGGUGGAUACUGUCGGGCUUGAGUACGGAAGAGGCGAGUGGAAUUCCUGGUGUAGCGGUGAAAUGCGCAGAUAUCAGGAGGAACACCAAUUGCGAAGGCAGCUCGCUGGGACGUUACUGACGCUGAGACGCGAAAGCGUGGGGAGCAAACAGG